rnacentral:rRNA from 1 species
GGCCCUACGGGGCGCAGCAGGCGCGAAAACUUUACAAUGCGGGAAACCGUGAUAAGGGAACUCCGAGUGUCCGUAAAUGCGGACUGUCCGUAUGUUUAAAAAGCAUGCGAAGAAAGGGCCGGGCAAGACCGGUGCCAGCCGCCGCGGUAAUACCGGCGGCUCGAGUGGUGGCCACUAUUACUGGGCUUAAAGCGUUCGUAGCUGGGUUGUUAAGUUUCUUGGGAAAUCUACCGGCUUAACCGAUAGGCGUCCAAGGGAUACUGGCAAUCUA